CUGUUCUUCACAAAGGCACAAACUCAUCUCCUCUCCUCUCUUCUCUGAGAACCUCAUUCUGUCUAGCUUUGUAAUGGUGAUCCUCAGUACAGUGUACAGCCACUGCCUCCAUCCAUCAUAGCUGUUGUGAUAGCACCAUCAAUAUCAGAAUCAAAGCCACAUCUUACAUGAUUUGGUGAACUUUUGUGUAUUUUGGGGUUCGCGCAGCCCCCGCAGCCACCGCAGCCACGGGUUUGACCACUGCAGCCCCCACGGCGUCGUUGUCAUCGCCAAGCUCGCCUUCUCUCUGUUCGCCGGAAGCUCGAGAAGAAGCAUGGGAUAAAGUUUCUAUUCUUGAGCUUGAGAUAGAUGCUGCAAUGCGGGAUCUAGAUUUUGAGAGGAGAUUAAGAGGUGCCAAGGAAAGACUUAUGCUUUGGGAAACACAACUACGGGCAUUUUAUUCCAUUACUGAGGAGAUGCAAGUACUCUUUGCUAAGCAACAGGAGCAAUUAAAUGCUAUGCAGAGAACUCUUGAAAACGAAGAGAAUUACGAGAAUACUUCUGUAGAUAUGGAUGGAGUGAUCGGUGGAACCCCUGGAAGAGAGAGAAGUUGCAGGAUACUAUAGUUGCAGGAUCAACUGCAUCUAUGCUGAAGCGCAACAGAGAUCAAGUAGAAACCUCAAGCAAUGAACCUAGUGUCACUGAGAAGCAUGACUGUGAGGUGAGAAGUCAAGAAUGCCAAAAUACACGAGUUCACCAGUGCAGAUCAUGACCAUGAUGUAAGAGGUGGCUUUGGUUAUGAUAUUAAUGGUGCUGGCACAACAGAUAUGAUGGAUGGAGGUGCUGGCGGUACUGAGGAUCCCCAUUACAAGGCUAGACGGAAUGAGGAAGAUGACACUUCUACGGAAGAAGAUUACACAUAUGAUUAGGAUUAUUGGAUUUGGUGGACCUCAAAUGGUAUAUACAAAGAUUGUUAAAAUGAGAAAACUUCAAAGAAAAUUAUGGGCUUCUAAUGAAGUCAGAGCUUCUAAUCUUUCACUCAGCAUUGACAUAACAUUGUCCUAAGUGCAACUGAGAAAUUAAAGGAGAGUGAGGUCAAGACUUUGAGAAAAGUCUUACUUGACUUUAGCUUGUCUUACUAGUUUUUGUUAUUAAAUUUUGUACCGUAAUUGUUUGAAAAUUCUGAUUUAUGUUUAGACUGAAGAGAUCACUAUAACUCGAGACAUUAAAAGAUACGACCAACACACCAGGAAUAGAAGUGUCGGAAGUUGCAGGUGUAGCCACGACCAAGAAACCAGGAUUGCCACAACAUCCUAUGCAUCAUUAUCCAGUGGUCCAUCCUUAUCAACCUUAUGGUGGAGUCCUCCCAAUUCCUUUUCAUCUUGUUCAAAAUGGCAUGGCGUACUUCAACCAUUAUCCUUCUAUUGCUGGAAGUAAAUCAUAUCCUCAGUUAUCCCAUGUCUCGCCGUAUUCUAGUGGACCCAGUGAUAGUUAUACAUGGGUUGGACUUUUGAAUGAUGUCAUCAACAACAAAAAGCCAGAGUAAUAAUCUACAUAUUAUAUUUUAAAUUUUCUUCAUUUUUUUAUGGUAUAGGAUCUUGAAUCAUAGACUUUUGUGACAUUGACAUAAUAGGCUAUUUAUUAUGGUCGUUCAUGGAUGUGUUCAAAUUAUUGAGUAGAAAACUGAUACAGAAAUUUGUUUUCUUUUCAUAUUUCUUAGUUAGGAAACUUAACUGUUAUAAAACUGAUACAGAAAUUAUUAUUUGACAUGAUGGAAAUAAGAUUGCAGGAUGAAUGUUGCUGCUUUAGAUUCUUGUCAAGAGAUGGUGUUGAUAUUCAUCAUUCCCUUAAGGUUAGUCUGUGUUUGUUCUUUAAAAGGUGUACUGAAAAAUUUGUUUGGUUUCUGUUUUUUAACAGCGUUGUAGACUUUAGGAUCGCACGAUCUUCUAGUCACCAGAUAGCGCAUGGUGACACUACUAUGUUCAUAGUGCAGGAUAUAGAUUGCAUUGAAGCUAUUGCAAAAGAUCCUCAGCACUUCCGGCAAAUUGUUGUUUUCCUGGUUGACAAAUUUCGGAUAGACAAUUCUCUUUUGGAGAACUAUGCUUUUUCCUUGUUCCAAAAUUUUAUCUUUAUUUAUGCAGUUUCACUAAAAUAUUGUAUUUGCUUAUAUUUUUACCUUUAGUUAUUAAAUUCUAUUUUUUUUAAUGCUCUAGAGGAGGUGCUUUGAUAAUUCGCCGACUUUGUGUUCUCUUGAAUGUUGAGAGAGUCUAUCAUGAACUUUCUACAAUACUAUAUGGGGAACCUUAUUUGGAUUUUGCAUCAAUUUUUUUUAGGUUGGUUGACUUUUCUGCCAGCUUGAAUAGCAAGAUGCAACACAUGUGUAAAUUAUGAUAUAUAUAUAUAUAUAUAUUCAUAGGUCUAUAUGAUAUCGGAAGCAACCAUUCCACCUUUAAACAACAUGAUUUAACUAGAC